rnacentral:rRNA from 1 species
UGACCGCUUGAGAGAUCAAGUUUUCCCUUCGGGGACAAUGGUGACAGGUGGUGCAUGGUUGUCGUCAGCUCGUGUCGUGAGAUGUUGGGCUAAGUCCCGCAACGAGCGCAACCCCUAUCCUUAGUUGCCAGCAUUUAGUUGGGCACUCUAGGGAGACUGCCGGUGACAAACCGGAGGAAGGUGGGGAUGACGUCAAAUCAUCAUGCCCCUUAUGAGUUGGGCUACACACGUGCUACAAUGGACGGUACAAAGGGCAGCGAGACCGCGAGGUGGAGCCAAUCCCAUAAAGCCGUUCCCAGUUCGGAUUGCAGGCUGCAACUCGCCUGCAUGAAGUCGGAAUCGCUAGUAAUCGCAGGUCAGCAUACUGCGGUGAAUACGUUCCCGGGUCUUGUACACACCGCCCGUCACACCACGAGAGUUUGCAACACCCGAAGCCGGUGAGUAACCGACAAGGAGCCAGCCGUCGAAGU